UUUAUGUAUAGAAUUUGGAACAGACAUGCCUCAUUGACCAAACAUUGACAAAGAUUUAACAACACAUACAUCACGAACGACAAUAAACCACUCACAUAAGAGACAAUAAACCACUCAAAUAAGAAAUCCAGUUAUAUCCGGAAGCUGGUAAAAUUUGUUUGAGGAAGGAGAGAGUAUAAUAAGCCUUGCAAUCAUCAAUUGAACAAGAAGGUCAAUGAGGACACCAAGCCUAACGUACUAGAAGACAAUGAAGGAUGACACCAUGCAAUUUAAAAAUACCUGUAUGUACAAUCAAAACUGGUGUAAACAUGCUGUUGGACAUGAAAUAAUAUACGUAAAUUCAUAUAAAAACAAAUAACUGGACUUAACAUUUGUUCCACUAUAAAUUUGACACACACUCUUGAUAUUCCAGUUUUGGACAACAAUGAUGCGACUGCUGUUUCUAACAUUUCUCCUGCUUUGUUUUGGGUUCUCAGUGGCACAGAGAGAUUGGGGAAGCAGAUGGCUCACAAGAAAUCGGAACAAUGACUGGAACAAUCGGAACAAUGGCUGGAACAAUAGGAACAAUGGCUGGAACAAUUGGAACAAUGACUGGAACAAUAGGAACAAUGACUGGAACAAUAGGAACAAUGACUGGAACAAUAGAAACAAUGACUGGAACAACAAUUGGAAUGGUGUAUUGAGGGGUUAGCAGAUUUCGACGGGCCAGUCCCUGAUUUAUAGCAACUACAUAUGCACUGAAUGUUUAUUACUAUGCCAAAAUUUUAGUGUUACCUGUAAUAAAUAAAUGACAAAUCUUCCAUUCGUACUAGAAAUGGUGGUAGGAUACAUGCAUGUAA